rnacentral:tRNA from 1 species
GCCCUGGUGGUGAAAUGGUAGACACGACGGACUCAAAAUCCGUUGCUGAAAGGCGUGUCGGUUCGAGUCCGACCCGGGGCA